rnacentral:rRNA from 1 species
GAUGAACGCUGGCGGCGUGCCUAAUACAUGCAAGUCGAGCGAACGGACGAGAAGCUUGCUUCUCUGAUGUUAGCGGCGGACGGGUGAGUAACACGUGGAUAACCUACCUAUAAGACUGGGAUAACUUCGGGAAACCGGAGCUAAUACCGUAUAAUAUUUUGAACCGCAUGGUUCAAAAGUGAAAGACGGUCUUGCUGUCACUUAUAGAUGGAUCCGCGCUGCAUUAGCUAGUUGGUAAGGUAACGGCUUACCAAGGCAACGAUGCAUAGCCGACCGGAGAGGGUGAUCGACCACACUGGAACUGAGACACGGUCCAGACUCCUACGGGAGGCAGCAGUAGGGAAUCUUCCGCAAUAGGCGAAAGCCUGACGGAGCAACGCCGAGUGAGUGAUGAAGGUCUUCGGAUCGUAAAACUCUGUUAUUAGGGAAGAACAUAUGUGUAAGUAACUGUGCACAUCUUGACGGUACCUAAUAAGAAAGCCACGGCUAACUACGUG